rnacentral:misc_RNA from 1 species
UGGCACGUAAAAGAUUUCAACCAAAUUAAAGGCUACAGAACCGAAAACCCAAAAAGCUACUUCUUUAAAUCAACUUGAAUAUUACAUAAAGAAAAGAAGAUCACAGGGAGCUUGUGCGAGGAAGAAAACUAAGAGAAAUAAAAGAUUGUAAUAACUCUAACUCUGGCAGUCGACAAAAAGGAAUAAAAAGAUUGAAAGCGUACAAUAGAAUCAGAAAAGAAGCGUUAAAUAGGGCAGUAGCAGCAGCAAGGUAGAGAUUUGAG